CUUUCUCCAUUCGCCACUCUCUCCACAGAGCCGGUGCUCACAGCAAUGUUCUGGAGGAUCACACAGAAAACAAAUACAUCUUUUGGGCCAGGCAGAGGACACCUGGCUGCAUAAGGGAGACAUGAUAGAAAAGAAUUCCAAAGAUCACGUUUUCCAGCCACUGGAGUAGAGAGCAAUAUUCUGCUCACACCAGGCAUCAGCAGAAUGGCUUAGUCUUCAUCUCUCCUGGGGCUAAAGAUGAUGAGCUCAUCAAAUCUCCAUAAGAAGUGUGGAGAAUAGCCAAGAGGAAGAAAGGAUGCAGAGCAGAGAACAAACUGCAGCUAGCAAAGGAAAUAUGUUCUCCUCAAAGAAAACACACAAGCAAACAAAAACUCCAAGAGAAGAAGGGCCUUUUAAAGUUGCAAGGAAGUGUUUCAUCUUCAGGCAUGAAGGAGCAAAGACAAAUCUUCUGUCAUUGAGGAUCUCCCACGACCAGUUCAUCAGUGACAGUCCAGAUCAUACACUGGGCACAACUGCUGGAGCACAAACAGAACGACCAGCUGUGGAGAGUGCUGGACUGUACAGAGCUCUGGAACCCAUCCUUCCUUGAGGGCUGGGUAAAAAUGGAUACCCUGCCAUUUUCCCAGGCACAGUAAACAGGAGGUGUGCCCCUGCUCCUCGGGGGCUGACCCUGAGAUGUGUCCUCGGGAAGCAGGAUGCUCAAGCAACUCC